rnacentral:rRNA from 1 species
UUGUCGUCAGCUCGUGUCGUGAGAUGUUGGUUAAGUCCGCAACGAGCGCAACCCCUAUUGUUAGUUGCCAUCAUUCAGUUGGGCACUCUAGCGAGACUGCCGGUAAUAAACCGGAGGAAGGUGGGGAUGACGUCAAAUCAUCAUGCCCCUUAUGACCUGGGCUACACACGUGCUACAAUGGUUGGUACAACGAGUUGCGAGUCGGUGACGGCGAGCUAAUCUCUUAAAGCCAAUCUCAGUUCGGAUUGUAGGCUGCAACUCGCCUACAUGAAGUCGGAAUCGCUAGUAAUCGCGGAUCAGCAUGCCGCGGUGAAUACGUUCCCGGGCCUU